rnacentral:ncRNA from 1 species
AGAACUGAUAGACUGAGUAAGGAAUGAAAGGAGUAACGACCUUGAAACUUACCUAUGAAAACUACGACAUGCAGAUGAUAAUAUAGUGAAUUAAAUGUAUGAUAGCUCGUUAAAGUCACUUGAAAAGUUACCCUAAUAUCAUAAGAUAAGGAAAGUGUCAUAAACAUGUAACUGAUGAAGUGGUAGUCUAUAA